GUUCUCACUUUGGCAGCACAUAUACAAAAAUUGGAAGGAUACAGAGAAGAUUAACAUGGCCCCUGCACAAGGAAUACAUGCAAAUUUAUGAAGGGUUCCAUAUUUUU
ensembl:snRNA U6 U6 spliceosomal RNA